GCUUGCCACAAGGAGAUAACUUAUCUUCUUUGUGAAGUCUACUUCAAAAUGAAUGAGCUGGAGGGGGCAUGGAUGCUCCAUAAAGCCAUGGGAGGGUCUGGUCAGAGGCGGUUGACCUUAGUCUCCCCAGAUGAGAUGGGUUACACGGGGGCUGGGCUGUUCAAGUCCUGGGGAGGCAAGGGCUGUCUAUAUGUAAUGCCUAUACAACACCGACUGGACAUGUCUCCCCUGCCUU